CUCCCCUCUCCCAGACCCAACUCACCAUGCAGCCCAGACCUGCUGCGACUAGAGCAGCCCAGACCCAGGUCGGAGGGUCAAGCCAUGAAGACAGAGCACCCUGAGUUUCAAAGAGAGGAGGCAGCAGGGAGCACAAGGAGCUACAGAAGGGGGCCUCAGAGGUGUCCUAGUGAUGGAAGAUGUGAAACAAUACGCAUUACAGGACACUUUACUGAAGCAACAGUCCUCCUUCAGAGAGCUUUACUGUCUGACAAUGGAUUGUGAUAUUCAUCUGAAGCCAGAAACAAAGUCAUAUUGUAGACAUGCUCUUCGUUGCUCUAUGGCACAAAUUCGCGGGAGACCACUCUUUCAAACACCAGUGCCCUUUUAUUUCCUUGUAUUUUUCCCACCACCAUGUAUAUACAGCUUUAUACACUUCGCUAUCAGGCAGGUAGCCCCUUGGGAACAGCUUGCUCUUACAGCUAGCUGGGAGCAACAGACCCUCACUCCUCACUUUCCUGUUCCUUCCCUCCUACUUCCUUCCUGCUAGCUUUAUAGGCCUUCCCCCAUCAAGCUCACAGGUGUCUCUCCUUUAGGGCUUUAAUCAGCCACAGCCUGUCAACUCCAAUCUCUUCCCCUUAGUGGGAGCUGAGCUAGCAGGCUCUGAGCUAACAGGUGCUGAGUCAGUGCCUUUUGGCCAGCACCCUGUUACACAUAUGUAUAAUGGUAUCAAGUCCAUUGAGCUUACAGCAAAGAGAGCUUUUGCUGUGAGAGUAGGCCGACACAUUUUUAAUAAUUUAAAAUACUUUAUCUCUUGAAGAGUUUUUCCAUAAAGCAGCAAGGUGGCCACCAGCACUUCUGGGGGAAAAAAAAAGAAGUUAAAAAUCAAAUAAAACUAAGUAGCAUGCUGGAAAUCCAGUGUGACCAACUCUCACGAUUUUAGCGUGAGUCUCAUGAUAUUAGGUGUUUUUUCUUCAAACCCCAGCUCCUGGAGUCAUGUGCAGCUUUAAGUAAAACAAAUAAAGUUUCUAGCCCUCAUAUUUGCAGAGAUGAGCUUAAAAAUAUAAUCCCCUAAAGGCUCACAAACCACAAGGCAAUCACUCACAAAUUAUUAAUUUCUGAGAUCCCAUUAUUUUUCAACUAAUAUCACUUUAGGGCAGCCUGAUUCAUGAUUUUUGGAUGCUUGGGGUUGGCUGUACCGUGAAACCCAACUGAUCGUCUAUCCUAAGUCAGACUAUUCUCCAUAGUAGUCAAACAGUGGUUUUGUUUCUUUUCCCCUUGAAGCUUUGGCAGUUUUACCAUUGAAGCAGGCGUAAAGGGGCAAGGGCAUUCAGCUAAAACAGGGUGCAAUAAACUAAUUUCUGUAAUGGUUCUUAGAAUAUUUUGCUUCCAUUACAUUUCCUCUUACUGUAGUUCCUUUUUCUGGAAAUAUUUUUUGAUAUCUGACUGUAUAGCAAAGCCGAUAUGCAUUCUUUCAGAUACCAUGUCACAAUACGCUUU